GGGGCUCUAGCCGAGCCCGCGCCCUGCUACUCAAACCCAAACACGUCUGGAAAACCGAUCUUUUCUGCGCCUGGGAGGUUUUCGCAUCCUCAGUUCCCACCGCUGAGGCUGGUCGCCACCAAGUGUAGGAGAAAGUCCCCAGGAGGAGAGGCAGGGGGGCGCGGAGACGGGAAGGCGACAUGGAGGGGUAGGAAGUAAACGCUGGACUCGAUCAUCUGUCUGCUGCCAUUCAGAGCGGACCUGCCGCAGCGGGAGAGCUGUCAUUUCAGCACCGGGAUUUAGCCUUGAUCCAGUCUGCAGCUGAGGGGCCACAACUCAGCUCCCACUGCUCUUUGCCUCAGGCUGGAGGCUGGAACUAUAGUUGUUCAGUUUUUUUGUUUUGUUUUGUUUUGUUUUUUGUUUUUAAAAUCACAGCCAGACUGCAAUUAACAGCUUAUUUGUUCUGUCACGAAAGAGGCUUUGCCAGGACCACUGAGCAGGCUACCGAGGUCAGGCGUCCUGAGCUGCUCUCAGCAUGGCGUUGGGACAAUAGUGCGGGUUCUAAACUUUUGAUUCGUUCUGGCUUCUUAAUGCAUUUAUUCCUUGUCAAGUUUCCCCUCGUAGGAAGUUCGGACGUCUGAAGAUGCAUCAGAUAGACUUCACAUGCACAUGCAGGUCACUCGCCAGCUAGUUUGGUCUCUACUUGUGUACGCGGUUGGUGGUUUGCAAAACAAGUGUUUGAAUAGUGUGCUUAUGUGGUGGGAGGAGACAUAAUGGGUAAUGCAUUUGGGCAGAGUCCUCCUAAGGGUGAGUUGCCUGAGCAGCAGGUGAAGUUGAAUGAAGCAAUUUUCCAUCAUUUGCUCUACUCCCUCAUUUGCAUUUUUUGUUCCUCUUCUUGUUCCUCUCCCCUGGGGCAAUUGCAUAGCCAAGAACAGGAUUUUCAAAGGAAGGCUAUCAUGAAAACAGGAAGGUACUGAUGAUCUUUUAUGUACCAGAAUUGUUUGAAAUAUUAAAAUUGGCUCUUUGGCUCCUUGCA